rnacentral:rRNA from 1 species
CACAGGAGAGCUUGCUCUCUGGGUGACGAGCGGCGGACGGGUGAGUAAUGUCUGGGAAACUGCCUGAUGGAGGGGGAUAACUACUGGAAACGGUAGCUAAUACCGCAUAACGUCUACGGACCAAAGUGGGGGACCUUCGGGCCUCAUGCCAUCAGAUGUGCCCAGAUGGGAUUAGCUAGUAGGUGGGGUAAUGGCUCACCUAGGCGACGAUCCCUAGCUGGUCUGAGAGGAUGACCAGCCACACUGGAACUGAGACACGGUCCAGACUCCUACGGGAGGCAGCAGUGGGGAAUAUUGCACAAUGGGCGCAAGCCUGAUGCAGCCAUGCCGCGUGUGUGAAGAAGGCCUUCGGGUUGUAAAGCACUUUCAGCGAGGAGGAAGGGUUCAGUGUUAAUAGCACUGUGCAUUGACGUUACUCGCAGAAGAAGCACCGGCUAACUCCGUGCCAGCAGCCGCGGUAAUACGGAGGGUGCAAGCGUUAAUCGGAAUUACUGGGCGUAAAGCGCACGCAGGCGGUUUGUUAAGUCAGAUGUGAAAUCCCCGCGCUUAACGUGGGAACUGCAUUUGAAA